rfam:Chryseolinea serpens strain DSM 24574 genome assembly, contig: Ga0070524_101
GUUCAGUGGAGCAGCACCACUUAAAAAACGGGCGCAUCCGAAAAGCCUGAUGAGUAGGAAGUAA